ensembl:lncRNA
GGAGUGUACAAAUACAAAAUAUCUAUAUAAGUGCUUAAUAAACUUCCAACUGGGGUGAGUGUGCAUGUAGAAAAUUCUUAUUUUAUUGUUACUAGGAAAAUACCUUUAUGACUUUUUCUUAAUUAUUUUCUGCUUUGUUAGCACCCUGUGGCAAGUUACAGAGGAACCAGAUAGAAAUCCUGCAAUUACAAAGGGAGGAUGGGAAUUUACAGUGAUAUGCAUUUAUAUAGGAGCACCGUGAGCUUAAAUUCUUGUGGAACUGUACUCUUAAAGGCAUGUUCUUGUGGAGGUUGUUACAGAUGCUCCAAUUAUGAGGAGGAGACGGCAAGAAUGUAAGUAUGUGCUCAGUGGGAGGUAAGUUUUAUAUUCCUAACUUGCGUAAACCCCCUUUGACCUAGAGCAGCUUGAUUUAAGGGCAAAUUAAAAGAUUUGGUCAGUACUUAUAGCAUUUGCUUAAGUUUUGAGCUUCAUUUUUAAAUUUAUUUUGUAAUUUAUAAAUUUUCCUGUUAAAAAUUUGAUAGAUGAACAAGUUUUUCUGUGAGCAACAGAACCUGUGAGUUUUAUUUUGUUUUAUUUUAGUGGGUUUAUAUUCCCUCUUCCUCUUUCUCUCCCAGCCCCCCUCUCAUCCACAGUACUUCUAAGCCCUCUUCACUUCCCAGGAUCCCUUACCUACAAUUUAUCUGAUUAUUGGUUGUAGUCCCUGCAGUGCCAGCUACUCAUCUGCAUUCUGGUGAACUGCGCAAAAGGAGCAGAUAUGUUGUUGAAGCUCUGUGUGUACAUUUAAUUUGCAGUCUAUAAAGACAGGUGGAAUACCUGAAGUGCAGCCACAGCUCUUAUCUGUGAAAGAAGACUUGUUCCUGUUUUACCAACUGUUGGUUCUCAUAAAGCUGUAGGAAUGUAGUGGCUGUGAAACUUCUCCACUCUGUUAAAUCUUUCAUACCUUUUGUAUGUCAUCCAGAUGGACAGACAGUACAACUAUAUGCCCAUUCAGGGAAUGGCUAAACAUUGCAACGGGACUGUCAUUCUCACAGUUGCAUGAAAGUAAAGAUCUGAAUUAAAACUAACAUGCUUAGUUUUACUGCAGUUUAUAUGUAAACCGUAUUUUAAAAUAGCUCAGUGGAAAUAAUGAGAAGAUUAUUUUUAUAAUUAUCUAGAUUAGUAGUGUCAUGCUUUGAAUAGGAAAGAUUACCAUUUUGAAUCUAGAAGAUGUUCUGAAACAAGUUGAAUUUAUUCAAAUUAGCUUUAUUCACUGUGAACUUUUGGUUAAUUUAAUUUUGCUUAAUCUAAUUUUGUACAAUGCUAUGUAGCAUUCUGCUAACUUUUAAAUAUUUACGCCUUUUCAGAAAGAAAUUCAUAUAUAUAUAUUUGAUCAAUACCAGGGUAUAAAGUAUUUAAAACUUCUCUUAUUGAUCUGUAGUUCCCAUUAAAUUUGUAGUUACAUAAUGUUUUUGAAGUUAUCCUUAAUUUUGGAACUAAUAGUGCAGAGAAACAGAGCUAGUUAAAUUUUUUCAAGUGGAGUUUUAGAACCCCUAUACAUUUUUUUAGCCUUCUCUAUGAAGAAAUGUCAGUUUCGCUAGAUAUUGAGCGUGUUCACUGAAUCCUAAUGCAGAUGGCAGCCCUUCAAAAGCUGAAGUUCAGCAAGUGGAUACAUUAGUUAGCAGUGAAGAAAAACAGAUGGUAAAAAUAAGGAUGAGCAAAUGCCAGACUCUAAUCAAGAUAAGAGGAAAAGGACAGUUUUUUUAAAACUUCUACUGUUACAUUAAUUAAUAUUUACUCUACAUGUGUGUUUAUAACUUUAAUAGCCAUGUUCAGCGCAUUUGCAGAGUGUGAGGAUAGCUUUCAGUCUAGACGGGCUGGGGAAGAAUGUUCCUAAUUUUUGCAAAGAAAACUGUCCAGAUUUAUUUAAAGUUACAAUGUUGCUAUAGCCAGAUACUUUAGAACAUAAACAAGGCAAGAUUCAAAGUAGGAGUUUGUACUGUAAGUAUCACUGGGUGGAGGGGCACAAAGAAUGUUUAGGCAUGUAAGCCACUCUUCCGUGGCAGGAAAAAAUAGAGGUAGUUGCAUGCCAGACUUUUUGUUCAGGGCACACAAAGAAAUUCAAAAGAAAUAAUGAUUAAAGGACUAGAUAGACAAAUCAAUCCAAAAUCUGUUUGUUUGAACCACAUCUAAAAUACAUUACUAAUGCAUAUUUUCUUAAAAACAAAUACAGAACUAAAUGUAAAAAUGAGUGAAAACCAUUUAAAUGAAGAAACAUCGAAAGUUACCACUUGGCUGCAGGCUUAAAGUCGAAGGAGAAAUGAUGGUUCAGUCUAAAUACAUUAUAAUUAUUUUCAUUCAGAAUAUUUCUGAUCAGAAAAAAUAUUGUGCUUCAUGACUGAAUGAAAUUUGUGAUAUUUAGAUUCAAUUUUUAUUAUAUUUCUUAAAGAUACCAUACUUUCAUCAUCAGGAUGUAUUUCUGGUGUGUUUAAAAAAAAUUCUAAGAAAAGAACACUUUUGAAAUAAAGUACUGGAAAACUAUUAGCA